rnacentral:rRNA from 1 species
GAUAUUCCGAAGGGUGCCGCCGAAACACGACAGUGUGUUCGGUCGGGCUAACAAACGCAAAACACAGGUCUGUUAUAUACUCAGGGCACGACCGCGAAGAACGGAAACGUCGCGAUCGUGUCCGCCUUGGUCGCCGUGCGACGUCCGAUUGACCGUAUUUGUCGGGAGUCGUGCGGCGGCCGUUGAUAUUCGAAAGAUGGUGAGCACUUGGUCGCCGUGCGACGUCCGAUUGACCGUAUUUGUCGGGAGUCGUGCGGCGGCCGUUGAUAUUCGAAAGAUGGUAAGCACUUGGUCGCCGUGCGACGUCCGAUUGACCGUAUUUGUCGGCGUCGUGCGGCGGCCGUUGAUAUUCGAAAGAUGGUAAGCACUUGGUCGCCGUGCGACGUCCGAUUGACCGUAUUUGUCGGCGUCGUGCGGCGGCCCCGGUUGGUUAUUUGAAUACUCGUUGAAAGCUUCGGGGUACCUGUCGGACCCGUUAUCGUCGUGCGACGACGUCGAUUGACCGUAUUUGUCGACGUCGUGUGCCGGCGACGCGGGUGCGAUGAGCCGGCGGUUCGGCGAAGGUUCAAAGAAGCGCUGCUGUCGUUGGCCGUCAGUCGCCCUGUCGCUGCGGUGUCCGAUUUCGGUUGACCGUAUUUGCCGGAGUCGGGUGCACACGGAGACGAGGUGGCAUUGCGCGGCAGCGCUCGCCCCGAAGCUAUGUCUUUUGUUUCGUACGGUUGCUUACGGUCGCCUGCCGGCUUGUGUGCCGGCCGUGUAGUGUGGUUCAUGUGUGGUGUUGCAAUCGUCGUCGGCCCACACGGUGCCGUCGACGCAUCGGAUCGUCGUGAAGUUAGCGCGUGCGGCUCGGUUGGUUGUCCGUAUUUGCCAAUCGUGUCGCCUGCGCGCUUUGCGUCUUCCGCAUAUAUAGGGGCGAAAGACUAAUCGAACCACCUCGCGGCCGCCGCAGACGGUACGGUGCUGCCUUUCUGGAAAAACAGUGAUACAACUCUAAGCGGUGGAUCACUCGGCUCGUGUGUCGAUGAAGAGCGCAGCCAGCUGCGUGAAGUAAUGUGAAUUGCAGGACACAUUGAACAUCGACAUCUUGAACGCACAUUGCGGCCUCGGGUAUUCCCGAGGCCACGUCUGUCUCAGGGUCGGUUGAAAUUAUCUAUCGUCGGUUGUCCGUAUUUGCCGACGCAUUGGAUCGUCGCGGAGCGCUGACCGUAUACAGGCGGUUGCGAUCGGUUGACCGUAUUUGCCGAUCGCGCCGCCGCGUGCUCCACGUCGUCCGAAGUACAGACGGGUCUGCGCCUAAGCUUUGCCGACCGCACGUCCUAAAUCCGCCCGCGCGCGGACGGGGACGGCGACUCGGGACCGUAAAGAGAAGCCGUUGCCCGUUGCUGCGGAGCGGUACGGUCGGUGUAGGCUGUGGCAAGACCCAAUUACAACGCGCUGUUCCCGUGUUGAACAGUCUUGUUUCUUCGACCUGAGAUCAGACGGGAUUACCCGCUGAAUUUAA